CCCCUAGAUGUUCUGGGCCGCACGCGCGCUACACUGAACAGUUCAACAAGUCUUAACCUUGGCCGAUAGGUCUGGGUAAUCUUUGAACGCUGUUCGUGAUUGGGAUAGACCUUUGCAAUUAUGGGUCUUCAACGAGGAAUUCCUAGUAAACGCAAGUCAUCAGCUUGCAUUGAUUACGUCCCUGCCCUUUGUACACACCGCCCGUCGCACCUACCGAUUGAAUGGUCCGGUGAAAUCUCGGGACGGCGGCUUGGUCGCUUGCGUCCGACUGCUGAAACUUGGUUAAACCAUNUNAUUUAUNGGAAGGUGAANUCGUANCA
rnacentral:rRNA from 1 species